ensembl:lncRNA
CCCUGGGGGUGCGGAGUGGGUGACAUCAUCGCUUUAAACCCCAGUCUGCGCUGCCAUUGGCUAACAAGCUAAUUGAGCGGGGUGGGGGGGCGGUGUGUGUCCUCCCCGCCCGCUCCCCUCCUCACCCAGUUGGGCUGGGGCGCUGCUCGGCACCGCACGCCCGGCCCGGAGCAGCCACCGCCCCCCGCGCUGCCAGACAAAGCCGGGUUCGGAGCGGGGCUGCAGCAGGUGGCGAGAGGCGGUUCCCCGCAGAUCGCAGCAGUUCUAGCUCAGUGGCAGAAGAGGAUUUGACUGUUCUCCAUCACCGCGGCGGGGGCAGACGGUCUGCCCAGCACCUGGUUGGGACAAGAUGGAUGGCAAAGCUACUGCCAAUGGGGUCCCCCCUCCCCAGACCAAUGGCACGGCAACCGCUGGGAAAGGGCCAGCAGCUGGCCAGCCUGCAGCAAAACCCAAGCCUGCCAAGAACACUGUGAGAUCAGCCCCCGUCCCUGGAGCUAGGCGGCCUGUGACGGACCACGCCCGCCCGCCCACGGCCCCAUGUGGUGGCUCCAAGCUGCUCAGCAAUGGGGUGCCCCCGAGGGCCGAAGCCUCGCAGAGGAAGCUGCCAGCGGCAGCAUCAGCACCCAAAGCUGGUGCUGCCUCUACCAAGCCCACUCCGGCCAAAACAGUGGCCAGGAAGCCAGUGGGUGAGAGCGGGGCAAAGCCUCCGGAGAAGGCUGGGCCGGGCAAGGCCGGGCAGCCGAAGGGCAUGAGGAAGACGCCGGUUCCAACCAUGGCCUUGGUCCCAAAGUUGGCCUCAGUGAAGCCUGAGAAACCAGAAUCGGCCAAGCCUUCCAGGUAUGGUAUGGAGUUGCCUGCGGCUGCACGCUGGCUGCUCCUGAUACUAUGGGGAUAGAUGUGGGAGGGGCUGGGUAAAGAACCUGCCCCAGGAUACCCAGCAGGGGGCAUAUGGUGGGGCUGGGAAGGCUGGCUUUUGGGGUCUGGAUGAAACUUCCAUGUGGGAUGGCUCCUGACCAGUCAAGGUACUGCCCUUGGGACCCCCAGCCCGCUUGGAGCAAGCAGUGGCAUGUGCAGGGUGUGUGUGGUACCUGAUCUAAUGUGAUCAGAUGUAAUCACACUAAUAACAGCAUGAGAAGGGAUGGUAGCAGGAGUCACUGAAACUAGGGGAACUCCCAGAGGAAAACAGUCUCAGAUCAGAGGCAGCUCCUGGGAGAGCCUGAGAUGAGACGGAAACAGACUCUGUUAGAGACCUUUCUGAAUUUUCUCUCUCAUUAGUGAGUGGUGGGAUGUUCGCUGGCAGUAUGUUGUUCAGCCACUAGAUGUCCCUGAACUGCACAGUGUUCCAGGCAGGGAGUGGUCCCUGGUAAACAACGGAGACAGAAGUGGGACACAAGCUAAGUGAAGGCUUGUCUGCAGUUCAGUAAAUGCCUCCUGUUGGAGAUGAACUGUGGUUCUGCAUAUCAUGAGACAAAAAUAUUCCAGUGGCCCUAAGCGGGGAGGAGACUUCUGGUAGUAGACGACUCUCUAAUCUAGCAGCCAAAGUCCGAAUGAGAUCAAUGAAGCUGAAGCCAGCCAAAUUCUGAUUAGCCAUGAAGUGUGAAUUUUUAGCCCUGAGAACACAGGGCCCAUUCAUGUAGGGCUGUGGGAGAUUCUCCAUCCCUCCAAAUUGAGCCUGGAUGUCUUUCUACAAGAGAUGCAUUGGCUCAGAUAGACACGAACCUGCCUGAUGCACAAAGCACCAAGUGGGUUAUCUGGCCUGCGUUUAUGCAGCCUAGAUGGUGGUAAUUGUAGCAUAUGGGAACAGGACAGUAUCCCUUUGGACUACUGGCUCCCAUGGUGUCCAAGGUUUUGAAAGCUGUUAGAGCAGCAGGCCAUAGGUGACUAGCCCUGGCAUG